rnacentral:ncRNA from 1 species
GCAAAGUUUCCUCAAUUGAAAAUAACAAAGAGAAUGUGGAUUGAAGAACAAGGAAGGAAAUAGACGCAUGAGUGACUUGGGUAAUUUUUUUUUUUUUUUUUUUUAUCCUUUUUCCAUCGAAGUAAAACGAGGGGAAGUAUUUGUUUAUGAGCUUAGUUAUUAGUCUACUUGCUCAUAAGAUGCAAGUGGAAUGUGAGUUGGGUUUAGAACAUCGUGAGACAGUUCAGUUUCAAUCUGCCGUUGGUGUUAAAGAGAGAAUUGUGAAGAGUCAACCCUAGCACAAGAGGACCAGGUUGGGCCAACCUAUAGUGUACCGCUUGUUAUGCCAAUAGCAGCACCGAGCAGCUAAGUUAGUAUAUAUGGAAGAAUUGCCAUGAAGUUUCUAACAUUAAUCUAAUAACUUAACUCAAACUUGCACAA